AUUGAACGCUGGCGGCAUGCUUUACACAUGCAAGUCGAACGGUAACAGGCCGCAAGGUGCUGACGAGUGGCGCACGGGUGUGUAAUGCAUCGGAACGUGCCCAGUCUUGGGGGAUAACUACUCGAAAGAGUAGCUAAUACCGCAUACGAUCUAUGGAUGAAAGCGGGGGACCGUAAGGCUUCGCGCGAUUGGAGCGGCCGAUGUCCGAUUAGGUAGUUGGUGGGGUAAAGGCUCACCAAGCCAACGAUCUGUAGCUGGCCUGAGAGGACGACCAGCCACACUGGGACUGAGACACGGCCCAGACUCCUACGGGAGGCAGCAGUGGGGAAUGUUGGACAAUGGGCGCAAGCCUGAUCCAGCAAUGCCGCGUGCAGGAAGAAGGCCUUCGGGUUGUAAACUGCUUUUGUACGGAACGAAACGGCUCUGGUUAAUACCCGGGGCUAAUGACGGUACCGGAAGAAUAAGCACCGGCUAACUACGUG
rnacentral:rRNA from 1 species